rnacentral:sRNA from 1 species
GCGGCUUAGCAGUGCACCAAACACCGCGAUGCAAUGCAAUUAGCUACCUACCUGCGGGAUCUAAGCAGCUUUCGGAAUAGCACUGCAUCUAGCGAAUCUGCACCAUACCAACUAGCCAAGCAGCGUCAAUUUGCGCUACUCAACCAUCUAGACCGC